rnacentral:ncRNA from 2 species
CCUACAGUCGGCGCGUCAGGUGCCUGCAGAUCCUUUGGAUAUGGGCAGGUUAAAAGGGAAGUCUGGUGCGACAACAGUCAAAGCCAGCGCUGCCCCCGCAACGGUAAUCGAUACUCCAAUCGACAGCCCGAUACCUGCCUGACGAAUCUUAUUCAC